rnacentral:tRNA from 3 species
GCCCCCGUGGUGGAAUUGGUAUACACAACGCACUUAAAAUGCGUCGCUUUAUGCUUGCGGGUUCGAGUCCCGCCAGGGGCA